UUACAGGAGGCUGAUUCCCGUCUCAUUCAGGUAUUUAUAUAUUAGCUGCAUUUUAACUUUAUAUCUGCCUGGAGAUCAGCUUUACAUUUUUGUUGCUAUUGUGCAGGGGGGGGAGGUGAUUCAGGACAGGACAGCCCAGCACGGCUCCAAGGCUGCUGAUAACACAAACAGGUUCCCCCGGUGUGUGUGGUUCAUGUUGUGUCGUCAUUUCCCGGUGUCGGCACUCGGCGCGGUGUCAGAACUUUCCCUUUACGCACUUCUGUGACUCGGGUCCUGAGUUCUCCGCCAGGUGCAGAUCUCACUUCCCGGGAGGACGGAAGAGGGAGGAUCGUCUAAUGAAAGUGAAAGUGUCUCCAACCCAACACAUCCAUAGAGGAACUCCGCCACGCCAUGAUCAGCGCGCACCGACUCACCUGAAAUACGACUCUAUCAGAGAGCAGGGCCAAUCAGGAGGAUUCAAUCGUUCCCGGGGAAAUCUCCACCAUGUCCAG